GCGCCGCGCUGCUCGUGGUGUGACGGCUCGCUGCUCGUUCUUUUUGGCGGUACUAGCUAUGGUAGAAGCAAUGCGAAACGGAUGGAAGCGCCCAGCAGCUGUCUGCGAGCUUCCGACAUUACGCCGCUAACGCUACAUGUUGGACCGUACCUCUUCUCUGCUGCAUUCAGAAACCUUUCUGUGAGCCCACCACGAACGCUGGUGGCGUGCAGCUCACAGUCACACUGCAAUCCGGCUGUCUGUUCUUUCACCUCACAAAGAAAUGAAAGGGAAAUCUGGUGACACACAGAAAGCACCGCUUCAGAGCAGCCCCUCCUGUCCCGCCGGACUGAGUGAACACAUACUCAGAACAAGAAGUCGUUCUACUAUACCGUGUAUGGAUUACCAGUUCUUCCUAUUCAAAUGAAUAAAAGAAGAUGCAACUUAUCAUCAUUGUGUCAUCAUUCUGAAAAAUGAAAAAUUAAAUAGUUGCUCAACAUAUUAAAACUCUCAAAUUCAAAACUGCUCAAAAAAAAUGGCAAAUUCAGCUACCUGGGAAAUGCCCUCCUAUGCCAAUGUCAAGAUAAUUGCCAAGUGUGGAAUACUCACACUGCAUGAACAGGAAUGCACAGCAGUCAGUUCCUGCCUAGCAGUAGAAGAGACCCUGAUGUAAAAGCCAAAAAUGUGUUCUGGAAAUACUAUGGAUUUUUAAUGAGGAUUAAGCAUCGUGGCAGUUGAACCACAAAAGAUGUAAGGAAACUGCCUAACCACAGCCACAUAGAUCAUAAUGAUUUAUGUAGGCAUGAGCUGCAAUACUGUUUCCCUCACUUUAAAAAGAUUUCUCAUUUGCCAAACUCUGUGUAUUCUUCAUCAGAUGUGUAGGUUAUAAGACAGAGAAAUCAUCAACUUGAAACAACUCCAGCAGAACUGGAAAAAUGUUAUGACUUCAUAGGAACAAUCCCCAAUCAAUUCAGAAUCAUCCAGGUUGGUUAGAAGAUUUUUUGAACUGCAGAAAUAGCACAGGCACUACAGCAUAUUUGUGCUUGAAAUCAACGACAAAGCACUACUGCUACUAAAAAGCACACAGCUGGCUCCAUGUGGGAAACCAAGUGACAGGGACUUAAAAUAAAACUUCAAAGUUUUUCAGUCAUUUCAUUGCAACCUUUACAGGUUCUGGGCCAUGAUCACAAUUUAGAAAACAGAGCGGUCAGCUUGAAAAAGAAUACAGGAGAGAGCCAGGAAGAAUACUGAAGGAAAGCUGGAGAGAAUCAGUGAAGCACGCAAGUUCAUGAUAAACCUCCAGAAGAGGAUUCAACUAUCAGAGUCUGCCUGUCGCUGGAUAAACUCGAGCAGAAUCUCUGGCAAGUGGUGGAAGUGACCAAAGGGUAAAACUGGCAUUUACCAACACAAUUAGUCCAGACAAGUUCCACUGACUUCUACUCAAAACUUCAGUUUGAUUGAGUAAGAACUGGCAACAUUGAUUGAUGCUACCAGAAGAAAUGCAGUGUUUUUAAAGACAGCAAACUAAAAUGUGGUACAAAGCAGAAUGCACACUGAUGCCAAUUUCCAUCAACAAGAGUUCUAUUAAUUAUGGAGAGGAAAGCCAAGAAGUAUCAGUGGAAAAAAUACAUCUAAAUUCCUUGAAACAGAAGCAGGCCCAAUUUUGGAAUACCUAUAUGUUAUCUAUGCUGUGAAGUAAUUUCUUACUUCAUUAAUGUUUUAGGCAAAAAUAUUGAAAUAUCUACAGAAUUUUUAAACACAAUAACUUACUAAUGUUUCUUCGCAUGCUAGUAAAAGAUAUGUAGUCUCAAGUGAUGUAAAUCAAUUAUCUCUGUAUGUGUGAAAUGCUGUAACAAGAUCAAUGAGACCUGAACACAAGGAGGCAUCUUAGGAUAACAGCUGCAGAUGCAUGCACUCUCUGGGAAGAAAACAAACAAAUGAAUAUACACUGCUCAUCUCUAUGUUUUGCCGUCCCACAUAAAAAAUCCCUGUCAUUAUCUUUUCCAGUUGUUAAGUGCAUAAAAAAAACAAAUGAAGUCAGGUAGCAGUCCAUAUAUCAGUACAGGCAAAGUACAAUAAAUGGUCACUCUUACAGCAAAGAUAAAAUGGAUGCUUUGCAUUCACUUUUGAAAUUUGUUCUUGAUGGGACUUAAUGGUCAGACUAUACUUAGAACCACUGCUGUAUAUUUAAUGGCUGAACAGAAAACUGCAACUACGUAUCUUUACUAAGAUGGCCUCAAGAUAAUUACCUCCACAUUAUUAAUAAUUCUGCCAAUUGGAUUUCCACAAAGUAGAUUCAAUAAAACACUAAAAAUAUUUAUUCAAUAAAUCAAUUACACUUCUGAUUGAGUCUGGCUAACCAUAAGUUAUUUUCUCAUUGAUAAAAUUAUGUUUAUGAAAACCCAUUUUCAUGGAAAUAGUUCUUAAGGUUUUUAUUGGAAAAUACUUUGCUGUUAGGCUGAAGAUAAGAGAAUUAAUGAAAAGUCCACAUGAGCCUUAUUUGUUUAAAUAAACACCAAAAACCCUCUGAUUGUUGCUUAUGCAGAAUCCAAUGUCUGUGUUUAAUAAUGCCAAAAAAUGUAAAGAAAAAUCAAAUACCUUCUUAUCCCACUAGAUGGUGGUGCCUUCAGAGUAGGGUUGAUAUCCUUUAAAAGACUGCAGGAAAACUGCUUUCUUUAGCUGACCUGUGAGCAUAGAGAAUGAGAGAUGAGGUUAAUCUUGUUCUUCUGGGGACAUUAAUGAGCAUUCAGGUGUAAUGGCUUACUAAAAAUACUCAAGUACAUAUGAUUGUGUUCAUAGUUUGUUACAAAGUGUGUUUUAACUUCAGUAUACAUCU